GACGAACGCUGGCGGCGUGCUUAACACAUGCAAGUCGAACGGAAAGGCCCUGCUUUUGUGGGGUGCUCGAGUGGCGAACGGGUGAGUAACACGUGAGUAACCUGCCCUUGACUUUGGGAUAACUUUAGGAAAAUGGGGCUAAUACCGGAUAGGAGCUCCUGCUGCAUGGGGGGGGUUGGUAAGAUUCGGCGGUUGGGGAUGUUCUUGCGGCUUAUCAGCAUGUUGGCGAGGUUGUGGAUGACAAAGGAUUUGACGGGUAGCCGGACUGGGAGGGAGACCGGCCCCAUUGGGCCAGGGGAGCGGCCAAGAGUCAUACGGGAGGAAGGAGCGGAGAAUAUUGGGCAAAGGGCGGAAUGCGGAAGGAGGAACGCCGCGUGGGGAAUGACGGCCAUCAGGUUGUAAACCGUUUUCGCGUGAGAAGAAGCGUGAGGGACGGUAAUGGGCAAAGAAGCACCGGCUAAUUCCGU
rnacentral:rRNA from 1 species